CCUACGGGAGGCAGCAGUGAGGAAUAUUGGUCAAUGGCCGGAAGGCUGAACCAGCCAUGCCGCGUGAAGGUCAGUGCCCUAUGGGCGUUAAACUUCUUUUGUGCGGGAGCAAUAAUGGUCACGUGUGGCCAGACGAGAGUACCGUACGAAUAAGCAUCGGCUAACUCCGUGCCAGCAGCCGCGGUAAUACGGGGGAUGCAAGCGUUAUCCUGAUUUAUUGGGUUUAAAGGGUGCGUAGGCUGUGAGGUAAGUCAGCGGUGAAAUGCCCCCGCUCAACGGGGUGAAGUGCCAUUGAUACUGCCUUGCUGGAAUGCGGAUGCCGUGGGAGGAAUGUGUGGUGUAGCGGUGACAUGCAUAGAUAUCACACAGAACACCGAUUGCGAAGGCAUCUCACGAAUCCGCGAUUGACGCUGAUGCACGAAAGCGUGGGUAUCAAACAGGAUUAGAUACCCGUGUAGUC
rnacentral:rRNA from 1 species